UUGUGUUUCCCACAAUUUGGGGCCAUCUACUCACUACAAGACAAACGCAUAACUGAUGUUAUUGCUAUUGUUGCCUAUGUUAGUAAGAUACAAACUCUAUGGGAUCCAAUAUAUGAUAGACAUGUCCCUUUGCUCGAAA